rnacentral:rRNA from 1 species
UAGGGAAUCUUCGGCAAUGGACGAAAGUCUGACCGAGCAACGCCGCGUGAGUGAAGAAGGUUUUCGGAUCGUAAAACUCUGUUGGUAGAGAAGAACGUUGGUGAGAGUGGAAAGCUCAUCAAGUGACGGUAACUACCCAGAAAGGGACGGCUAACUACGUGCCAGCAGCCGCGGUAAUACGUAGGUCCCGAGCGUUGUCCGGAUUUAUUGGGCGUAAAGCGAGCGCAGGUGGUUUAUUAAGUCUGGUGUAAAAGGCAGUGGCUCAACCAUUGUAUGCAUUGGAAACUGGUAGACUUGAGUGCAGGAGAGGAGA